UACGGAGGGUGCAAACGUUGCUCGGAAUCAUUGGGCGUAAAGCGCACGUAGGCGGUCCGGCAAGUCGGGUGUGAAAGCCCUCGGCUUAACUCGGGAAGUGCUUUUGAUACUGUAGAGCUUGAAUGUGGGAGAGGGUAGUGGAAUUCCAGGUGUAGUGGUGAAAUACGUAGAUAUCUGGAGGAACACCGGUGGCGAAGGCGGCUACCUGGCCCAACAUUGACGCUGAGGAGCGAAAGCCAGGGGAGCAAACGGG
rnacentral:rRNA from 1 species